CAGUCGCCGCGGUAAUACAGAGGGUGCAAGCGUUAAUCGGAAUUACUGGGCGUAAAGCGCGCGUAGGUGGUUUGUUAAGUUGGAUGUGAAAGCCCCGGGCUCAACCUGGGAACUGCAUCCAAAACUGGCAAGCUAGAGUACGGUAGAGGGUGGUGGAAUUUCCUGUGUAGCGGUGAAAUGCGUAGAUAUAGGAAGGAACACCAGUGGCGAAGGCGACCACCUGGACUGAUACUGACACUGAGGUGCGAAAGCGUGGGGAGCAAACAGGAUUAGAUACCCCGGUAGUCCCUGUCUCUUAUAA
rnacentral:rRNA from 1 species